CUUGAAGAAUCACUAUGGUUAUAAUCCACCGUCAACCGUUCACCGGCUGGGUGACCUUGGGACUAAUCGUUGAGCUUCCUUUUUCUCAUCUGUAAAAUGGGCAUGCUGCAGACCUGCCCAGUCCACUCAACAGUAUCCCUACAAAGAUGAACAUGUAGUAUCAGAUGUGAUUGUAUUUUGCGAAGCCUCCAGUGCUGGACCUUUGUAAAGUAGUAUUAAUUGUAAUAAUCCUUCCAUUUAUUGAAUACUACCCAUGUUCCAGGAACUGUUUAGGCAUUGUUUCACUCAGUCACCACCACAAACGUGUGACGUACAUAACACCACCCUCAUUUUUCAGAUAAGGAAACUCAGGCUUUGAGAAUUUAGGAAACUUGCUCACGGCAACCCAGCAGAGCCAAGCUAGAACCCAGCUUUUGAGUCCACAUGAGCUCCUGACCUUGCUAACUGUAGCCCAGCACCGGGAAAUUUCUGACAGCAUAAAAUUCAAGGUCUAAUCUUAAGACUCUGGAAUGAAACCGAUAACCAAGUUGGGCUCAGGAAAUGGAGUACAAUGGGACUUGGGCAUUUCUGACCAUUAUUUCCAAAGCAAAUCAUACCUGUAUAUGAAAUAUGGACAAGAAGUCAUCUACUCUGAAAGUGUGUUAAAUAUGGCUUGUUAGGGAAUGUCAUUUUGCAAGCACAGCCUUACCACACUCCUCUUAUAAACAGGAGGUGAACUGUUUCAAUCAGAAGCUGACCAACUCUGCAAUUCUGAAAGCGUGUGUCAAGAUGGAACUUCCAUCAAUCUGGGGCUCUAAGUAAUGGUGAUGAGCAGAACCUUCUUGCCCACCUACAGUAGAUAUUUAGCAUAUGUGAGAAAUAUGCUCUGCUGGGUUAAGCAAAAAGAACAAGAAGCAAGCAAAAAACCAAACAGACUGUGGCUUUCAUCAUGGUCUCUCUCUCUUGGAUCACACACUCUGGGGGAAGCUACCUGCCACUUCGUGAAGACACUCAGGCAGCUUAUGAAGAGGCAGAGUGGUCAGAGACUGAAGUAUUUGGCCAAUAGCCCAUGUGGGAUAGAGACCUGCCAACAACUGCAGGAGUGAGCUGAGAAGCUCUUCCUAUAGUCAAGCCUUCAGAUGAUGGCAGUCUUAAGAGAAACCUGGAGUCAGAACAACCCAGCUAAGCCACGCCCAGAUUCCUGACCUCCAGAAACUGCAUGAGAUAACAAAUGCUGGCCAUUUAAAGCUGCUAAAUUUGGGGGUAACUUGUUACACAACAAAAAAUAACUAAUACACACUGGCAGGGCCACAGUAUGACUUUUGUGGGCCCCAGGCACCUUUGCCUUUGUAGGUGUCUUCCUCCAAAAAUAUUAAAAGUUCUAUUUGUGACCAUGUUGAUAUAAAGACAAAUAUGAUCCAGACUGGAUUCAUUAUUAUAUAUUCAUUAUCAUUAUAUCCACUUUUGUCUUCUGAUUUUAAAAGAAAUAAAAGUUAAAACAUUUUUGUAGGCCCUGAAGUAUAGGGGCCUAGACACUGUGCCUUCCAUGUCAGAUGGAUGUCAGCCCUGCACAUGGGAAGAGCAUGGGAGGGACAUGCAGUUACUGAUGAAAGCUGAAUACCGAAGAAUUGGUUACUGGCCCUGACAGUCCUCAAGUUCAAGGAAGAAGCCAAAUACCUGGGAAUACUUAGUAUUUGGGAAAAAUCCUAUCCUCUGUGGAUCCUAUUGGGUCCUAUAUCUCAGGUAACCAGGGGAACUGAGUGCAAGCUGCUCUAAGUUAUUACUAAAAGGCAAUGACAUGACCUGCACUUGUUGGGUCCAAACCACACAGGAUCCCAUGAAAGCUGGUGUAUCAGCUAUGACUAUUCAGGUGACGUGGGCUGUGUAACACUGGGUUCUGGACUCAAUCUCUUCCUGAAGCUGAUGUCUCAUACUCACAAUUUGAAUUAAAUCUGGAGGCAGUAAAGUCUUUUGAUUCACAGACACAGAAUCUAGCAGGCUUGAGUUUAAAUCCUACCUGUGGUCCUUCCUGGCUGUGUUGUCUUUGGCAAUUUUUCAACCUCAAGCCUAAAGUUUCUCCAUCUACAGUAUACAUUCCACCAGUCAACAGCAUAAAACAUGGCCCCCCAAAAUGGCAAGUGGUUCCAUCCCAUAGACUAUCUUCAAAGUCAAAAGAGUUGUUACAAAAUUGGAGUGAGGGAUUAGAUAGUUCCACCUGAUGAAACGAUUAUAAAUAUAUGAAGUCUAUGAAGGAAAUGAUAACAUAUUACUGAAGGACGUGAAAGAAGAUCUGAAUAAAGGGACAGAUGUACUAUGUUGAUUCAGGAAAACACUCCAUU
rnacentral:lncRNA from 1 species